AAUUUAAAGAUUUAUUUUUUUUGUAUUAUUGUUCAAAAUAUUGUUUAUUUUAUUAAUUUUAUUGAAAAAAUUUUUUUUAUUAUAGAUAAUUAUUACAGUUAUGGAACGUUUAAAAAUUAAUAUAAGAAAUUCUAAUUUAGUGUACCUUUUGUAUCAGGGUUUAUUAAUAUAAAAUUUUUUAUUAAUUUUUCCCGAAUUUAUAGGAGUUAAUUAUAUAUUUAUUUCAAUGUUUCAUAAUUGUUUAAAAUAUGUUGUUGGAAAUUAAAUGUUAUUCGGUUAUAAAUAUAUCUGGUUCUUGUAGAAAUGAAUUUAAUUCGCGUGUAUAAAGGGUUAAUAAUAAUAUUUUUUGUUCUUUUUAUAUGUUUAAGAUUUAAAGGGAUUAGCUUUUAAAGGUUUUAUAAAUUUGGAGAUUUUAAUUGAGUUGUAGGAUUAGAAAUUUUCAUCAUUUUAAUUAUGUUAUAUUUUGUCUAUUUAGUUUAAUAUUUUCUUUGUAUUUAAGUUUUUUAUUCAAGAUUUAAAUUUAAUUUUUUUAUUUAAUUUAUAAUGGUAGAAUUAGUAAAACUUUUUGUUUUUU
rnacentral:rRNA from 1 species